CACGCCGUAAACUAUGAGCACUAAGUGUCGGAGUAAAAUUCGGUGCUGCAGUUAACACAAUAAGUGCUCCGCCUGGGGAGUACGGUCGCAAGACUGAAACUCAAAGGAAUUGACGGGGACUCGCACAAGCGGUGGAGCAUGCGGUUUAAUUCGAUGCAACGCGAAGAACCUUACCAGGUCUUGACAUACUGUUGACAGGGUUAGAGAUAGCCCCUUUCUUCGGAACAACAGAUACAGGUGG
rnacentral:rRNA from 1 species